rnacentral:rRNA from 1 species
UACGAAGGGGGCUAGCGUUGCUCGGAAUCACUGGGCGUAAAGCGCACGUAGGCGGAUUGCUAAGUCAGGGGUGAAAUCCUGGAGCUCAACUCCAGAACUGCCCUUGAUACUGGCGGUCUCGAGUCCGGGAGAGGUGAGUGGAACUGCGAGUGUAGAGGUGAAACUCGUAGAUAUUCGCAAGAACACCAGUGGCGAAGGCGGCUCACUGGCCCGGUACUGACGCUGAGGUGCGAAAGCGUGGGGAGCAAACAGG